CUGAAAAAAAAUAACUAAAUAAAUAAAAUAAAAUAAAAAAUAUAUAUUCUCAUUACCAUUCAAAACAUUGUGGGCCAAUUCCCACUCCAUGGUCUGCGCAAACAGGAUUCUGGAGGACAUGGCCAGCUUAGCCAGGUCUUCAAAGUCCACGGGCUCUAGGAUUCUUGGAGACCCAUUUGAGGUAGCUCGAAGGAAGGGUCCCAGCUACCUACUUCCUAGCAUUCUUCCUUUGUAUUUUACUAUUUCUUUCCAAAGUCUAUGUCUUUGUCUCUAGCUGCUUUGGGAUUGUUACUGUUACUGAGACCGGUGGUUUGGAAGAAGAAGAAAAAGAAAAAAGAAGGGGUUUUGGGUUUGAAAGAGCACUUGGUGAGUGAAAAUUGUGAGGAAUGGAAGAGAACAGACAUGGAUGUGGAAGGAUGAAGAAGGUAGAGAAGAAGAAGAAGAAGAAGCAAGGAUUUCCGGAAUGAAGUUCAAGGCUGAAAUGUAUCCUCGUUUCCAGGGCAGAACUCUCAGACGUCUAAGUACUUCUUUAUGAUGGUCAAUUUGAAGAAUUAUCAGCCAGGGUUUUGAUGCUGAGAUCUGCAUUAAACUCAGAUUAUCAUCUUACUUUGCCUAUAUUUGUUCAUCCAAUGCCAUAAUAUUGAGGUGAGUCUUCUUGCUACUUUGAAUGCAUAUCAUGUAGUGUAUUACAUUGUAGCUUUGAUGGAAGAAUGCAUACCAGACUUUGAAAGGCAUGGCGUUUAUACAUAUAUUUAAGCAUGGUAUUUUGGAUGCCUUUAUACUUUCCGUAUUUUAUAUAAUAGGGUAUGACAACUGUUUUUGAUUUAUUCAUUUUGCUGUGUGCUGGCUUGUCUAAACGCUCUUAUUCAAGUAAAACCUAACCUGCCAUUUUAA